rnacentral:rRNA from 1 species
UACGGAGGGUGCAAGCGUUAAUCGGAAUUACUGGGCGUAAAGCGUGCGCAGGCGGUUUGUUAAGUCCGUUGUGAAAGCCCCGAGCUCAACUUGGGAAUUGCAGUGGAUACUGGCGAGCUAGAGUAUGGGAGAGGAAGGUAGAAUUCCAGGUGUAGCGGUGAAAUGCGUAGAGAUCUGGAGGAAUACCGAUGGCGAAGGCAGCCUUCUGGCCUAAUACUGACGCUGAGGUGCGAAAGCAUGGGGAGCAAACAGG